AUUUUCCUCCCAAAAACGUAAAACGCAUUUUUUCGUUAAAAAACACAUUUUCUCGCCAAAAACGCAAAAGCACAUUUUCUUGCCAAAACCGCAAAAGCACAUUUUUUCCAUAAAAAAACACGAAGUUGGAUCUUACCAAAACCGCAAAAUUGCACUUUCCCGCCAAAAUCACUAAAACACAUUUUUAUGCCAAAACCGCAAAACAUGAUUUCACGCUAAAACCACAAAAAUAUAUUUUCUCACCAAAAUUGUAAAAUUUAUUUUCCCAACAAAAUCUCAAAAACGCAAAAUCACAUUUUCCCGCAAAAAAAC
rnacentral:lncRNA from 1 species